AGAGAAAAAGCAAUAGAAACUAAAAAACACAAACCCUAAUUAUUCUAAGGAGAGGAGAGAGACUGAGAAAUUCAUAAAUGGAGAGGACAGAUAGUGAGAAGAAAUAGAGAGAUUUUCAAUGUUAGGGUUUAGUUCGACAAUUUAGGUUUGCAAUUCGCAAUUAGUUCUGAGCAAUUUCUUGAGAGGUCUUGCAAUUAGAUGCGCAAAUUCUCUGAAGAAAACUCCAAAACUCUUCAAUGGAUUCAAAUUACACCACCACGAUGAAGCCAGAGGACGACAAACUGUAGUCCCAUACAACAGAUUCAAAAACUCUAGCAAGAGAGAGAACAGUGAUAGUUGAAGGAGACGAAUAAGAGGGAGAAAUGGCGAGAUAAGACAGAUCAAUUAUAGUAUUUUCACUUGUCGCCCAUCUCUUUCAAGUCGAAUACACACUUGAAGCAGUCCGUAAGGGCAACGCUGCCGUCGGAGUACGAGCUACCGACACCCUCGUUCUCGGUGUCGAGAAGAAAUCCUCCACCAAACUUCAAGAUUUCAGGUCUUACAUGUGGCAUGUUUUUGAAAGACGAAAUUCAAGUAGCUUACCCCGAUAGUGUUGCUGGUCUUUAUGUAAAGACCAGGAAUGAUGAAAUCGUCAAGGUCUUGCUGAAGGGUUUAUCUCGAGAGGAGCUAAAGAGAUCAGUAUGCAGUCUUUGCAGCUUAUUAAUGGAUGUUAUUUGGAAUUGCAACAACGAAAACUUUGAACAGGGGUAUUGCUUAGUUUGUAGUAGCUACUUCAAUUAUCUCCUUCGAUUUCCUGUUAGUUUUGCUACACUAACUUACAUUUCUUGACAAAUAGUCGUUCAAAGAUGUUCUUGUGUAAGCUUAAUUUUGCAGGUUUACAUCGACCUAAGUGUUGACUACUUAAAAAUGUUCUUGUUGAAUGUUCCAGCUGCUGCCGUUGCCCUUGGACUGGGAGUAUAUAUCUAUAAUCUGUUUAUUGACCUUUCCCCUUUCUUGCACGCCUAUGUUACUCAUAGUCAUGUACCCUUUUUUUAGCUUGAGAAGUUUAGAUUAGGAAUUACUAACUGCCUCAACUUGAGGUGAGUUCAAUCAACUGCAUACUCUGCAUUUGCUGGCAGAGCUUCUCUUCUAGUCGGGUGCAGAUUACUCAAGUCUAAUGGGAGUACCCUACAGAAUGAGUUCUUACUAGGAGCAUGGUGAGCUAAAUGGAGGAGAAAUGUAGAUCUAGCAAAUGAGAUGGGGGCUCUUGUUUGUUUUUGGGUCAUUUUGUGAUUUCUAGUAACGUUGAAUUUGUUUAUAUGAAUCUUAAUUUUAUGUAUUUUGGUCAUUAAAAACACUAAGUUAGUGAACAACUAUUUUGUAAUGCAUGUGUCCUAUGGGCACUAAUAUUGUAAUAUUACUCUUUAAG